UAUUAGGAUUUGCAUUCACAUCUGAAAGACCCCCGGAGCGGGGAGACCCUCACUCAAGUCUCGGGAUGAUGCGACCCCCCAAGAACUCACGUAAGACC
rnacentral:pre_miRNA from 14 species